rnacentral:rRNA from 1 species
UGCAAGUCGAGCGGACGGAUGGGAGCUUGCUCCCUGAAGUCAGCGGCGGACGGGUGAGUAACACGUGGGCAACCUGCCUGUAAGACUGGGAUAACUUCGGGAAACCGGAGCUAAUACCGGAUAAUGCAUAACCUCUCAUGAGGUUAUGCUGAAAGAUGGUUUCGGCUAUCACUUACAGAUGGGCCCGCGGCGCAUUAGCUAGUUGGUGAGGUAACGGCUCACCAAGGCAACGAUGCGUAGCCGACCUGAGAGGGUGAUCGGCCACACUGGGACUGAGACACGGCCCAGACUCCUACGGGAGGCAGCAGUAGGGAAUCUUCCGCAAUGGACGAAAGUCUGACGGAGCAACGCCGCGUGAGUGAUGAAGGUUUUCGGAUCGUAAAACUCUGUUGUUAGGGAAGAACAAGUGCCGGAGUAACUGCCGGCACCUUGACGGUACCUAACCAGAAAGCCACGGCUAACUACGUGCCAGCAGCCGCGGUAAUACGUAGGUGGCAAGCGUUGUCCGGAAUUAUUGGGCGUAAAGCGCGCGCAGGCGGUCUCUUAAGUCUGAUGUGAAAGCCCACGGCUCAACCGUGGAGGGUCAUUGGAAACUGGGGGACUUGAGUGCAGAAGAGGAAAGUGGAAUUCCACGUGUAGCGGUGAAAUGCGUAGAGAUGUGGAGGAACACCAGUGGCGAAGGCGACUUUCUGGUCUGUAACUGACGCUGAGGCGCGAAA